CCUCAACAACAUGAUAUAGUUUCCUCUGUCUCACUGAGAAAUUUUUCUAGGUAAAUUACAUAGCCUUCCUUGCUAUAUGAUAUAAUUUAUCGUGAGUUGGUACUUUAUACAUGUAUAGGGUGUAGUGGUCCAAAAGUCAGUGGGUAUAUGUUGGCCUCAAUUGCUCCGCCGUGUUUUACAUUUGAGAACUGUAGCUUUGCAGAUGUAAUGCCAUAUAACUGUUUUUACCAUGGUAAAUGGUUCGACGAGAUUCCGUCGUCGAAAUUUAUGGUUUUGCAUAUUUGCACAGUGGAACUAUCAGGUUUAUUAAGUAUCAACGUCUUUAUCAACGCAGCUGCGCAUAAUUAUUCUACUUAGUUUAACUCUCUUUCUAUUUUAGCUGAAUUCCAUUCCCUCCCUCUUCGAGAUGAUUGCUUCCGUCAAUUGCGAAGGACUCGCUCAAGAUAGAGAGAUAAUAUUAAGACGAGCGGAUCGAUAAAUCGAAGAAUUAAUUCAUAAACUCGAUUGUGUUUCAUAUAGUUUCAUCUGCAAGAUGGUAGACUUCUUCACUUCUCAGUUCUCAAAGCUCGACGAUCUUCAUAUUAUAUUAUACUUAUAGGAUAAAGGGUCAAAUUACAGAUAGUAAUUGAGAGCGGCUUUAGAAAUCAGGGAACGUGACCUAUACAUAGCAUAGAUUAUCUCUUAAUCAGGUAACAUGUUAAAUUGAGGGUAAUUGUUACAAUCUCUUAAUGUGUACGGCAGAUUAUAUCGUUAGUCAUAACAAAUAUUUGUCCACCUACAUGUUUACAAUUGGCCCUUACUCACACAUAUAACCAAUACUCCACACUUUCCUGUUACUGGCGACCCCAGGCUAUAAUUAUCAUUAACAUAGACAUUCGGUGAAAUGAAAGGCUGGGCGCCACCCAGUCUGAGGGUUACUGUGCCCAGUAACUCCACCGUCUACACGUGCGCGCGGCUCUAACCGUGCUUCAAUCGAAGCAAUGCUAAUUAUAGUGGUUACACUCACAGUCACACACACACACACACAGAAUAGUAAACCUAAGAGUUCAUGAAUCCGAUAUUUUGGAACAGUAAGACAGAAUUGAGACAAAUUUGGAACAGGCUUUUGGGGCAGUAGUUAUGCCUGGACUGACUUAAAAUUGAUCUGGUAUAAGGGGCAUGGGAACUAACAUGUUCAGUCACUGAUCAGAAGUGCCAAAUGAUCCCCUGGUUCAUGAAAUGAACGAAAUGAACAAAAAUGAACUUUCCAUAAAAUCGCCUGAAAUGAGUUGAAAUCAAUCAGAAUCGAUUGGUAUUGAUACUAGGAGUAUUCCUGAAAAGUUUGGAGGCUCUAGCAUGCUCAGAAAGGGCUCUAAGGGCAAUGUCCCAUUUUGGUUUCAGAGUAGUUGAGAUUUUGGAACUGGAUUGAGACAAAUUUGGAACAGGCUUUUGGGCAGUAGUUAUGCCUGGACUGACUUAAAAUUGAUCUGUUAUGGUAGAGGGGCAAUGGGCAUGUGAACUAACAUGUUCAGUCUCUCAGAAGUGCCAAAUAAUCCCUUGGUUCAUGAAAUGAACGAAAUGAAUAAAAAUGAACUUGAUCCUAAAAUCGUUGUAAUCACUCUAACAUCUAAACCCAGCCCAACUUGGCAACACUGUCCAACCUUCUCCUUCAUAUAUGAUAUAAUUGCAUAAUUCUCCUUAGUAACCCGUCCCCGUCGCCAUAGUUACAGACGUAAACAGGACAUGAGUGGAAUAUCGUUCAUAAAAGGCUAUAAGCAAGCAUACUAACUAAUCCGCUUUACCAAGGUGUGUCAUAUAAUGUACAUACAAUUAUUUACACGCAAUAUUUGGCGCUUAAAUCUGCCCCGUACAUUCAACAACUAUAUUCCGGGCGAAUAAGGUGUCCACUUCAUAGUUAAAUAUUGUGAUCAUUUAGUCGCGUUGUUUAUCGUGAGUUGGUACUUGAUGAAUGUAUAUAAUAAGGGCGGGCCAAACAUCAGUUGGUAUACGUUGGCCUCAAUAGCUCCGCCGUGUUUUACAUUUUACUGUAGCUUUGCAGAUGGCAUAUAACUGUAUUUACUAUGGUUCGACGAGAUUCCGUCGUCAAAAUGUAUGUUUUUGCAUAUUUGUACAGUGGAACAAUCAGGUUUAUCAACUAUCAACGUCUUUAUCAACGCAUUAUUAUUCUACUCAGUUUAACC